GACGAACGCUGGCGGCGUGCUUAACACAUGCAAGUCGAACGGAAAGGCCCUGCUUUUGUGGGGUGCUCGAGUGGCGAACGGGUGAGUAACACGUGAGUAACCUGCCCUUGACUUUGGGAUAACUUCAGGAAACUGGGGCUAAUACCGGAUAGGAGCUCCUGCUGCAUGGUGGGGGUUGGAAAGUUUCGGCGGUUGGGGUUGGACUCGCGGCUUAUCAGCUUGUUGGUGGGGUAGUGGCUUACCAAGGCUUUGACGGGUAGCCGGCCUGAGAGGGUGACCGGCCACAUUGGGACUGAGAUACGGCCCAGACUCCUACGGGGGGCAGCAGUGGGGAAUAUUGCACAAUGGGCGGAAGCCUGAUGCAGCAACGCCGCGUGCGGGAUGACGGCCUUCGGGUUGUAAACCGCUUUCGCCUGUGACGAAGCGUGAGUGACGGUAAUGGGUAAAGAAGCACCGGCUAACUACGUG
rnacentral:rRNA from 1 species